rnacentral:rRNA from 1 species
UUAAAUGGCCGCAGUAUUUUGACUGUGCAAAGGUAGCAUAAUCAUUUGUUUCUUAAUUAGGAACUGGAAUGAAAGGUUGAACGAGAUAAUAACUGUCUCUUUAGAAUUUUUUUAGAAUUUUAUUUUUGAGUUAGAAAGCUUAAAUAUUAUUAAAAGACGAGAAGACCCUAUAGAGUUUUAUAUAAUAUAUUUUUAUUUAGUAGUUAGAAUUUACAUAUAAUUAAAAUUAUUUAUAUUUUAUUGGGGUGAUAAAAAAAUUUAUAAAACUUUAUUUUUAGUUGAACAUUAUUUUAUGAUAAUAAUUGAUCCAUAUUUUAUGAUUUUAAGAUUAAGUUACCUUAGGGAUAACAGCGUUAUUUCUUUUUAGAGUUCUUAUCGAUAAAGAAGUUUGCGACCUCGAUGUUGGAUUAAAAUUUAAUAUUGGUGUAGAAGCUAGUAUUUUAGGUCUGUUCGACCUUUAAAAUUUUACAUGAUCUGAGUUUAAACCGGUGUAAGCCAGGUUGGUUUCUAUCUUUAGUAUAGAUAUAUAUUUUAGUACGAAAGGACCAAUUAUAUAUAAAAUUUAUUUUAAAUUGAUUAAUAAUAAUA